rnacentral:rRNA from 1 species
UACGGAGGGUGCAAACGUUGCUCGGAAUCAUUGGGCGUAAAGCGCACGUAGGCGGCCUGAUAAGUCGGGUGUGAAAGCCCUCGGCUCAACUGAGGAAGUGCACCCGAAACUGGCGAGCUUGAGUACGAAAGAGGAUCGCGGAAUUCCCGGUGUAGAGGUGAAAUUCGUAGAUAUCGGGAGGAACACCGGUGGCGAAGGCGGCGAUCUGGGUCGAUACUGACGCUGAGGUGCGAAAGCGUGGGGAGCAAACAGG